CAAGCAGGUAAUAGAGAAGACUGUGCCAAAGCAAUUUCUCAGGGCAGUAGUGAGUGGCACAGUGACCACCUUUCCUCCUAACCCACUGGGCAUACUGCAAUUGCUCUUGUUGCACAGUCUGUAUCUUUCAGCAUAUUCUCUCCUUAUUUUCUCUGAAAGACUGUUAUUUGCCCCCUUUAUUCCUGCCCAGCUCCUGGCCUCUUUUUCUGGACGGUGAUUGAAGCUGAGCCACAUUUAGUGAUGCAGUAAUUUGCCUACACUUUUUUUUAAUUAGAAAUCAUGGUCUUGGCUCUGCUGUUUGCUGAGUCUCAUUGCCAUUUCUAGCUGCUUUUUUUUUUUUCUCCUCAUUUUGUCUUUUUUACUUGUGUUCGCACUAGAAGUUCCAGAUAAUACUGGCAUCCCUGUGCAGUGGUGUGGGUCUUCAAAUACCCUGUUGGAGUGGGACCCUUCCCCACUGAGCUUAGGAUUUAAGGCCCAUUUUGUAAUGCUGUUGAGUUUGGCUUUGUGCAGAUACAUAAACAUAGAAAGAGACAUUGCCUGCCCAAGAAGUGUACAGAGCAAGCAGAUGUACAAAACAGAAGAAACCCAGAAGGAGAUAAGCAAAUGAAGUGGCUCACUCUAUUGCAGAAAACAUUCCUUUACUUUUCUAUUCUGAGAUAUUUCCAUUUAAUUCCUUCCUUUCAGUAUCUUAAACUGAGUUUGGAGUCUGUGUCAGGGGAUCCUGAAUUGUAGGAUAGAAACCACUAAUGGUACUUAAAGAUUAUUCAACUUUCUUCCACAAACCUGUAUGGCUGAGAAUUGGGCUUUUGUUGCCACCAAGACCGAUUAUAUUAAAUGGCAUAGUUGAGCAAGGUAUCAGUAUCUGGUGUACAAACAGCUUCUCCAGACUGGGCAAUCUGAAAUACUGCAAUGUUUCCAAGCUACUGGGGAAGCUGUUCCUCUUUAAAUGAGGAUGUCCUACCAAAUACAACCGAAAGCCAAGGCAGCAUGGUGUCCUGACAGGGAUGGGGUCCAUAGCAGCUGCCUGCAGAAGAACGGGGCAAGAGAGGACUUGCCUCCUGCCAUGGGGUGUUCUCCCAGCCCCCAGCAGUUUGCAGCCCAAGAGCUUUCUGUGUCUUUGUAUUCCCAUGGCUUGCCACAGCCAGCUAAAUCAGCAGACAUUACUCUGGGGGAUUUAGAUAGAUAGAGAACAUGGAGCUGAAUUUAACUGUAGACAUCCCAGCAGAGCUGGGAGAACAGUUCAUGGGAACGCUUGCUUCACUGCAAAGAUGGCCAGCGCAGGAAACUUCUCAGUGAAAGCCCUCCUGGGCAUAAGCCAUGGCAUUCCGUAUCAUGUCCUCUUCCCUUCGUGAGGGACAGGCUUUUGGAAAGCCACCCCCCUUCCAGUCACUUCCAGUCAGGCAAGCACCAGGAGUAAGAUCCCCCCUCUCCUUGAGCACACCCGACGGUGCAUCUCAUUCCGCUGCCAUCGGCAAGAGAGGAAUGUUCUUGCUCUGUUUUGGGGGUGGCAGGUGACCCCGGAGUCUCUUCCUGAGCUAGACUCUUUUACGAGCAUCACAGAAGACCGAUGCAGUGCCUUAUACAUCCUCGUGAAAAUAAACACAAAUUGGGAGGGUGUGCAUUUAAUGCAUGCUGCGGUUCACCGUCUUUUGAAAAGCUAUUGCUUUGCUCGCUGAAUUCCUGGCAGAUAAAAUGUUAAUCUGUCUAUCUCAGGAAGAGCACUGAGGAAAAGAGGUUAAAAAAGAUGAAAUCGGCACAACGCUGGGCUGAUCGUGAAUCUUUCCAUAAAACAUAAACCUAGUUCCUCUACCUGGUAGGGGGACCAACGCUCGGCUGUGUGUCGCAGCUCACUGGGUGUGACAUUCUGAAAAAAGCAACCGCUCUGCUCCUGGCAAUGAUUUUCAAAAACAAUUUGCACUUUAUCUCUGUGACACCAAGAGAUCACACAUCAGCCAACACAGUCAGGUAUCAGGAGCAAAUCAAUGGCUGGCUUACCUCCCAAGGUCUGUCCCCUAGUUUUAUUACUGCUGACAGUGGAGCCAGCAGUUAAAGGGCAGCGUGAGAUGACCAAUUUGGAGAUAACACUAGGUUUUGCACACCAGCUGAGCCUACUGGGGCACAGUUUCCUUUAGAGUGAUGAUAGUAUCAAAGAACUUCCAGCAUAAACUUGCAAAGAGGUUACCCAGUUUUGUCUGCUAUUUGAAGCCCCACAAAUGUUUUCUUAAACAGCAGGGUAAAAGACAGCAACAAUAAGAAUAACAAACCCAAUAGCUAUACACAAAAUACAGCAAGAAGCAGUAUCUUGAGAAAACCGUGCUUUUUAGCAACCAGAAACAAAAGCCCAACAUAAACACAUGAAGCGGGUAUAAGACAUGUGGUACUGGGAUAUAGUACUACAUUUUCCAUCUUCUUUAGGGAAGGCCACACAUACUGUCUGUGAAUGGGAAGCAGCUGGGAAGUAAUCUUUAUCAGCCUGAAAUGUAUGCUGGCAGUCUUCAGAGCAAGCUAUAUUUUGCAAAUUACACUACUUGCACUGCCAAGUGGAAAGAUGUUUAAUGUGAAGAGUUCAAUAAUGAAAGGAUUUUAAAAUAAAAAUAAAAGAUCCAUUCUUAGCUCAUUAUUUUCUGAUCUGGGAACAUAAAUACUUGUUAAGGAUAGUUGAAGACUAUCCCUACUCAAAAAACUCUAGCUGAGUGGCCUUAUGUGGUCCUAUUGAAACCAGCAGUAAAUCUACUGACUUACGUCAUUUCUCUGCAUAGUGUUCCAUCAGCUCAUCUGAGUAUGAAAUUCUGUCAAAACUUCUGUUAUUUCAACCAUUUUUUCAUAAUUUACUGCAUUUUGUAACUCUCCAUAACUUGCGCUCAUCUUUGCUUCCCACUCAUUCUCUAGGUCUCACGGUCUUUUUGCUUCUAAAGAUUUAGAAUUAUUCUGCAGUCCUAAUCCUAAAUAACCCUGAGCAUUAGUGGGGAAAGAAGUCUCUUUCAAAUAUUAGUACAAACUUAUUCAGUCCCUUGCUGGCCACGACUCGAGAGCCCAUUUUAGUCCCACAUGUUUUAGAUGACUGAUGUGUGUGUGAAUUAGCAGUGCUUUAGUGUUGGCUCUUUGUUACACAUCAGAUGAAGAAUAUGCAGCCAGGAUGAAUAAAUAAAAGGAAGUCCUGCAAAAUCACUCAGCUUUUUAAAAAUACCUUGGACCAUGGUGCUGUAUUUUCAAUAGACUCUUUCCAGUUUGAUGUGAGUUGUGUCAUUUGGAGUUCAAGGAGAAAGAUGCCUCUGCGUGUCAGUGCAGCUGCUUUUCCUAAAUAGGGAAAUGUGAAGGAUCUAAGGUGAAAGUGUCUGUCGCUCUUCUCUCCACAAGCCCAUUAGUUGUUUAUAAUAACCUGGCUUUAGCAGGAAUGGCUUUAAAAUAAUGCUUGUGAACACACAAAUAAAAGGUGGCUGUGACUGCAAGUGGGAGCGAGAGCCUUUGGAUGAUUUGCCAAAGAGGAAUCCGGGCAAGCUGUGUGCCUUGCCUGUGGUAUUACCCAAAGCUGGCCAAUCUAACGGCGAUGUGGAAUAGUUAUGGGGUGUUUGUGAAGGGCUGGGAACAGAGCGAGGGAGCACCUCAGCCCAGUACUGAUAGACAUCUCAAUAUUGAAUGGAAAGGAUCUCGUCAUCCUCUCCCUGCCCCGUCAACUUUGUGCUUCUAAUUUUGCACAGUAUUUUUACUUUCUCAUCUUUCCCCCAUAAUUAUUGCAUUCCCUGUCUUCUGCUUUCCAUCCUGUCAGCCUCGGAUUUGACAGGAAACUUCUGGUGACAUCUGAAUAUGAGUCAGAACCCAUCCAGAAACACAGCUUACUUACCAUAUUGAUAGCCUUGGGCUUUUGCUGAGUUCUUACUACCCAUUGUAUAGAGCCAUUUUUAAAGCACAGAGUGGCUUUAAACAAAUAUUAGAUCUAAAAUCUAGGUCACCCUUCUUACUGAAGGGCAGAUAAGAGGUUUGCUCAUUUCCUAGUGAAAAAUCACUUUUACUGGUUGACUUGAUGAUUUGAAUAGGAAAAUAAUUUAAAAUAGCAAUAGUGUAGAUAAUUAUGCAGUUUGAGUUCAGGAGUGGUUUCUCAGCAUUAGGCAGAGUAUUGUUUAAAUGCUAUGGAUGACAAUGAUUAAGGCAAAUAAUUGAUACCCUCUUUAGAGUGCUGCAUCUGUAUCCCAAUAUUCUCCUAGGAUACUGUCAGGUGCAUACUAACGAGGAAUUACUAAUAGUUGGUGGGGGUUUUGAGUGUAUGGAAACUGUGAAGGCAGGACUGGGUGCAGAAAACUGUCUUUUGAGCAGUCCAUAACUGUUUUGAAGCAUCAGACAUGUUUGAUUUUAGAUAAACUGAAAUUUCCUGCAGGGCACUGGGUAUCUGUUAAUAAUUUUUCAUCACUUCAGUGAACGGUCAGAUUUUCAGCCGCCUUUGUUUGUUUGACAUUUGUGUGAUACUCAACCAAUCCUUCAUUACUUGGUACCCAAUCUUUUGCACGUACAAACAUAUAGAAAAAUAGACAUACUUUUAUAUACAUAUUUGUUCAUACUAGGAAUACAAAUGGAUGUUUAAACUCUUUACCAUACAAGAGUUACAAGAUGCCUUCAUAUACAGUAAACUACUUUCUGGAAUUUCUGGUUUUAAAAUAAAUAACACAAAGUUUUUUUCAACAAUGUGUCAUUGCUGUUGUUAUGCAAGUGUGUAGGACCAACCCAAUGGUAAGCAGGUCAGCAAUUUUGAGGUAAAUCUAUUGCUGAACAGCAUCAAGGUCUUCCACCCUAAAACCAUUAGAGAACACUGUAGGAGCUCUGAGAGGGUCAAAAAGUACCAUUCUUUACAGCACUGAAGAUGACGAUGAUGUUUCAAAUAGAAAUUUCACUGUGCAAAGGUCAGCGCAACAUGGUCUCUUAGAACAACAUAAUUGGAAAGAACACCAAAGCUGUUUUAAACUCAUUCCAAAUAUCUUCUGGAUGCCCUUGAGAGUGAAAGAGCAGAAACUGUGUAGGAAUUCACAUGUUGGAGAGAAAUAAAAAAAAACAACCGAAGCCAUGGCCUGGUUGAAAAUUCAGUCUAGAAGCUGUCUUCAGUUCUCUGCAUCCAGUCUCCUAGCACUCAAUUUUGUUUAUGCCUAGGAGAAACCAGGGGACAAUCUGUGCCCUCAGGAUGGCAUCUUAAAGGGAAACUAGUACCUGCUUUGCAGACGCCACAAAUGUAUAGUCUGCAAAAUGCUCAGUGGAGUUCAAUCUGGCCAACAACCUGUCAGAGGAAGAAAUGUAAACAGUGCUGAAAAGAUCUCUGGUGCUGAAUUCACAUCUUAAUUAACUCUGCAGAACAAUAGUGACUCUAAAAAAGAAUACUACUUUGUACUACCCCUUAUAAUGCCCUCGAUAUUUUUUUAAAAGAUACCGUUUUAUUGGUGGGAUUAAAAUUCACACAAAUGCCCAAAGCUUCCAUAGAUCCCCAUGCCAGAAGUGAGGAGCCUGUGCUCAAAGCAUUUGGAGCAAAGAGCUUCAUUCCACCAGAUGUUGGACGAUGUCUCUAUGGCCAGGAAAGUUAGAAUUCAUCACACAGCCCUUGAAGGAUCUCUGUCAGAAGUCUGGAGUCCCUUUAUUGUCGAAGGAAAGAAAAAGACAUUUCUAGGACAUGAUUUCUCUCAUCCCAAAGUAGAUAGGUCAGAUUAAUCAUUUCCCAAGAGUACCCAUUUCUCCCAGUUUUCUAUAAAAGGAGCUCGAAAAGGAGACAUCUGAAUCAUAGAUACUGAAGCUUUCGUGAGAUCAGUCUCAGCCAGACUGUCUUGGCAUGUCACAUAGCUUCCGUGGGAACACUUGUAAAUAUAUCCAAGGGGAGUUUUAGGAUAACAGCACUGAAGAUAGCGAUGUGCUGAGGUACUAAGUUAAUAAAGUUAUUAACAGCCUUAUGAAUACAAUUAAUGAAUGAUUAGCUUGAAAUUAAUAGCCUGAAUAUAUUUCUAACUUAUGAUGUAGCCUAAAACAUAUUAACUGAAAGGUCAAGAUUCUUAUUUUCAGUUACUUUCUCAAAAGAGAAUACUUGGGUAUGAGGAAAAUUAACAGUAUUUUUUAGUGUUGACGUUGAUGAAAUUGGAAACUGGAAAAUGGAAAAUAAGUAGAGAAAAUGGCAACACAGCUUUCAUAAAUUUUUUCCCUGAGUUUGAAUUCACUGUGGUGUUGUAAAAAAUAGGUAAAAGUGUUGAGAAAAAGAAACAGAAAAGACAAAAGGAGAAAACCUGUCUUUGACUACAAAACUGAGGGGUUUUUUUCAUUUAUAUCUAUAAGGUCUAUUUUUGUGGGUAAAGUUAAUAUGAAGAUGUCUCACUUCUUUGGAGAUCCAUCUGUACAAAGUGUGAGACUUUAGGCUGUAACUUUGACAGGAACCUCUCCAACCUUUUAAAUUUUGAUUCUUGGAUCUAACCUUUUGAUUCUGAACCACCAUAUUGCCAGAAACAGAGAAAUCCAAGCUGAAAAAUUAAACCUUGCCCAAAGUGGUCUUUUCACUAAACUAAACCAAAAGUGACACCCCUCCCCUCCCCUCCCCAAACAAUCAUGAAUUACAGCCACAAGUGUGACUUUCCUGACUCAGCUUGGCUUGAUUUCGGAUCCUUCAUAUUUCCUUAAGCUUUUCAUACUUUGAUUUCCUUUCUGCUGCCAAGAAAGAGGGAAAAAGAAUCAUGUUUCCACAUAAAUUCUUCUCCAGAGUCUGUAAUGUGAGAUUUGUUUAAUAAAUUACAUAAACAGAUACUCAAA